AUCCAUUUGACGAGUCCCAAAUAGGACGAAACGCUCGUCCUGGUU
rnacentral:hammerhead_ribozyme from 1 species